GGCAGAGGCAGGGGCAGAGGAUGCCCUAAUUAUUAUCAAGAUCAAGUGGCCGCAGUCACCAUUCCAACACCUGUUCCUCAACCGCAGUAUCAUCCGCAACAGCAACCCAGGUACAACAAUCAACAACAAGGAGGUAAUCCGGGCCAGCAGAGACCCUAUCAACAACGUCCAAGGCAGGCGGAUCGGGUCAUUGAGCCAAUCCC
rnacentral:lncRNA from 1 species